rnacentral:rRNA from 1 species
UACGGAGGGUCCAAGCGUUAUCCGGAAUCAUUGGGUUUAAAGGGUCCGUAGGCGGUUUUGUAAGUCAGUGGUGAAAGCCCAUCGCUCAACGGUGGAACGGCCAUUGAUACUGCAAGACUUGAAUUAUUGGGAAGUAACUAGAAUAUGUAGUGUAGCGGUGAAAUGCUUAGAGAUUACAUGGAAUACCAAUUGCGAAGGCAGGUUACUACCAAUAUAAUUGACGCUGAUGGACGAAAAGCGUGGGGGAGCCGUAA